AUACGUAGGUGGCAAGCGUUGUCCGGAUUUACUGGGUGUAAAGGGCGCGUAGGCGGGAUGUCAAGUCAGAUGUGAAAUCUAUGGGCUCAACUCAUAAACUGCAUUUGAAACUGACGUUCUUGAGUAUCGGAGAGGCAAGCGGAAUUCCUAGUGUAGCGGUGAAAUGCGUAGAUAUUAGGAGGAACACCAGUGGCGAAGGCGGCUUGAUGGACGACAACUGACGCUGAGGCGCGAAAGCGUGGGGAGCAAACAGGAUUAGAUGCCCUGGUAGUCCACGUCGUAAACGAUGAAUACUAGGUGUGGGGGGACUGACCCCCUCCGUGCCGCAGUUAACACAAUAAGUAUUCCACCUGGGGAGUACGGCCGCAAGGUUGAAACUCAAAUGAAUUGACGGGG
rnacentral:rRNA from 1 species